CGGGUGAGUAAUGCGUGACCAACCUGCCCCAUGCUCCAGAAUAGCUCUUGGAAACGGGUGGUAAUGCUGGAUGCUCCAACUUGACGCAUGUCUUGUUGGGAAAGUGUUUAGUGGCAUGGGAUGGGGUCGCGUCCUAUCAGCUUGUAGGCGGGGUAAUGGCCCACCUAGGCUUCGACGGGUAGCCGGCCUGAGAGGGCGGACGGCCACAUUGGGACUGAGAUACGGCCCAGACUCCUACGGAGGCAGCAGC
rnacentral:rRNA from 1 species